UACGAAGGGUGCUAGCGUUAUUCGGAAUCAUUGGGCGUAAAGGGUGCGCAGGCGGUUUGUUAAGUCAGUUGUUAAAUUCUUCGGCCUAACCGGAGGACAGCGGCAGAUACUGGCAAGCUUGAGUAUGGAAGAGAGAAGCGGAAUUCUCGGAGUAGCGGUAAAAUGCGUAGAUCUCGAGAGGAACACCGAUGGCGAAGGCAGCUUCUUGGUCCAUUACUGACGCUCAUGCACGAAAGCGUGGGGAGCAAACAGG
rnacentral:rRNA from 1 species